rnacentral:rRNA from 1 species
CAGCCGCCGCGGGAACACGGAGGAUCCAAGCGUUAUCCGGAAUCAUUGGGUUUAAAGGGUCCGUAGGCGGUCUUGUAAGUCAGUGGUGAAAGCCCAUCGCUCAACGGUGGAACGGCCAUUGAUACUGCAGGACUUGAAUUAUUGGGAAGUAACUAGAAUAUGUAGUGUAGCGGUGAAAUGCUUAGAGAUUACAUGGAAUACCAAUUGCGAAGGCAGGUUACUACCAAUUGAUUGACGCUGAUGGACGAAAGCGUGGGUAGCGAACAGGAUUAGAGACCCCGGUAGUCCCUGUCUCUUAUAC